UGCUUUCCCAUUUCUAGUGCCAGUAAAUUUCUGUAUGUUUUUAAUUCACUGGAGGCGCUUGGUUGUAGCUGGUGGCCGUUUUUGACACAAGCUUGGCUGCUGUGUUCCUUUACCCAGUCCAUAUAAGGUCGAUAUCCGCCAUGGUUUAACUCGAUUUGUGUUUGGAUAGUUUUAUGCGGCAGAUUUUCUGCACUGUGCUCCCUCAGUUUAGUCAGCUUUGUGAGGAGAGCAGACAGGUAAAACUCGUCGUUUUAGCAGGAAUGCGGCGUUUUAUUGGUUUUACAUGUAACCACUCACAUAAACGUAAUCAAUUAGGGCUUCGCUACAUGGCAGUUUUGUUGUGUGAGUAAAAGUUAAUACUUGAGCAUUCGCCAUGAAGGGAUGAACAGCGAAAUGGAGAGGUGUGUGCAAUGGGCUCUCAGCUAAUCAAUGCUUCAUCACCCCCGCCGAAGAAGUGAAGACACCCCAUGUGACAGCAAUGCGUCACCCUCGAUGACCCCGGCAGCUUUUACCUUACCUGCUUUAUUGUCCCUUACUUCGGCCUUCUCUUCACCUGCUUUGAGAUGUGUAAGCAGGUCUGCCUUUACCGCAACAGCUACAUCGUGUCACCUCUGAGCUACAAGCUGACGCCGGGGGUUGACCAGAGCCUGGGGCCGUCCGAGCUGGAGGAGGUGAAGCGUUACUUGAGGAACAGGAACUUUGGGUCUGCAGGGUCGUCGUUAGGAAACCGCUGGUGAAAAAAAACUCACACGAGAUGAAGACGAGCGCCUGCUGAUGAUUAUUUGUUGGACUGCACUAUUUCAGAGGCUGUAACGACUACUUAAUAUUGUGUUUUAGAUUUCAUGUGUUCAUACAAGGUAUAAACAUACAUUUACAUUGUGUGCAGUAAUAACAGUCUACCUCUUUCAAAGUUUAUCAUUUUAUCUCUCAGUAUUCUAUGAAUUGUCCUUCACACAUAAUGCCUUUUUAACCAAAUAUUAUGUGCCUUUAACAUUCACUAUUUAUUUAAGAGCUUAUUUCAGUAAUACUGUCUAAAAGUGCCAGUUCAUUCAUAGACUCUAAGCACUCUUUUACUCUGCUUCUGUAUUGUUUUUUGUAAUUGUUUAAUGAAUGCAACAUUUUCUUGCUUCAUCAUUUGACUUGGUAUGGACAAUCAUGUAGGAGUGCUUACAUGGGUGGAGAUAGAAGAAAUGUGCAUUACCAUUAAACUUUCAUUGAGUCAUUUUUCAUUUA